rnacentral:piRNA from 1 species
UACGAUAAGUUGGUGUGAGUUGGUCCUGA